AUUCAGUUGAAGAGUACCAAAUAGGACGGAACGUACGUCAAACUGGAU
rnacentral:hammerhead_ribozyme from 1 species